ACAUGCAUGCCCUGACAUAUGAAUUCCAACAAUCCUAUCAGGCUUGAAAUCUAAAUCUGAUUUGCAUAAUUAAACCCAAUUAGUAUUAAAUUAAAUCAAAUCUAAUUAAAUUAAAUCUUAUUUAAAUUAAUUAAAAUUUGAUCUAUAAUUUAAUCAACCUCAAUAAAAUUAUAACGUUUAAAAUUAAGAUCCUGCGCUAAUCAUUAUUAGCUACUAAAACUGUAACACCUACAAAUUAGCAAUUUUCAAAAUUCAAACUAUCAAUCUGAUUGAUAAUUCAAAUAUGAUCCAAGCCG
rnacentral:lncRNA from 1 species